GAUGAACGCUGGCGGCGUGCCUAAUACAUGCCAGUCGAGCGAACAGACGAAGAGCUUGCUCCUCUGACGUUAGCGGCGGACGGGUGAGUAACACGUGGAUAACCUACCUAUAAGACUGGGAUAACUUCGGGAAACCGGAGCUAAUACCGGAUAAUAUAUUGAACCGCAUGGUUCAAUAGUGAAAGACGGUUUUGCUGUCACUUAUAGAUGGAUCCGCGCCGCAUUAGCUAGUUGGUAAGGUAACGGCUUACCAAGGCAACGAUGCGUAGCCGACCUGAGAGGGUGAUCGGCCACACUGGAACUGAGACACGGUCCAGACUCCUACGGGAGGCAGCAGUAGGGAAUCUUCCGCAAUGGGCGAAAGCCUGACGGAGCAACGCCGCGUGAGUGAUGAAGGUCUUCGGAUCGUAAAACUCUAUUACUAGGGAAGAACAAAUGUGUAAGUAACUAUGCACGUCUUGACGGUACCUAAGCAGAAAGCCACGGCUAACUACGU
rnacentral:rRNA from 1 species